CCUACGGGAGACAGCAGUAGGGAAUCUUUCACAAUGGGCGAAAGCCUGAUGGAGCAACGCCGCGUGCAGGAUGAAGGCCUUCGGGUUGUAAACUGCUUUUAUAAGCGAGAAAUAUGAUGGUAACUUAUGAAUAAGGAACGGCUAACUACGUGCCAGCAGCCGCGGUCAUACGUAGGAUCCGAGCAUUAUCCGGAGUGACUGGGUGUAAAGAGUUGCGUAGGUGGCAUAAUAAGUAGCUAGUGAAAUCUGGUGGCUCAACCAUUCAGACUAUUAGCUAAACUGUUAAGCUCGAGACCGUUAGGGGUAACUGGAAUGUGUAGUGUAGGAGUGAAAUCCGUAGAUAUUAGAAGGAACACCGAUAGCGAAGGCAGGUUGCUGGGACGGUUCUGACACUAAGGCACGAAAGCGUAGGGAGCAAACGGGAUUAGAUACCCCUGUAGUC
rnacentral:rRNA from 1 species